rnacentral:rRNA from 1 species
GACGAACGCUGGCGGCGUGCUUAACACAUGCAAGUCGAACGAUGAAGCAAAGAAUCGAAGCUUCGGAAGAAAUCCAUUUCGGAGUAGUGGAAGACGGGUGAGUAACGCGAGAGCAACCUACCUAUUACAAAGGGAUAGCCUCGGGAAACCGGGAUUAAUACCAUAUAACAUUGUGACGAAGCAUUUCGAUGCAAUCAACGCUCCGGCGGUAAGAGAUGGGCCCGCGUCUCAUUAACCGGAUGGCGAGGUAACGGCGCAUCAUAGCGUCGAUGGGUAACCGGCCUGUGAGGCAGGGCGGUCACUCUGGAGCUGGGACGCAGUCCGGACUCCUCCGGGAUGCAGCAGUGCGGGAUAGUGCACAGUCGCGGGAACGCUGAUGCUGCGACGCCGCGUGAGUUAUGAAGGUAUUCAUUACGUAAAACUCUGUUCUAUGGGAAGAAAAGGACUGUACCUUAGGAGAAAGCCCCGGCUAACUACGUG